rnacentral:lncRNA from 1 species
CUCCCACCUCCUCCCAUGGGAGUGGGAAUCCCACUCCCCACUCUAAAAUUGAAUGGGACCCAUGGAUUCUCACUCCCACUCCCCCCUUUUUUAAAGUAAAUAAACACUGGAGUGGGAGGAAUCUACACUCCACACUCCAACUCCAGAAAAUAAACACUACGUUAUUCUCAAUAACUUGAGCCUGGACCUAAAUUUAGAUUUGAAAAACCCGAGCCCUUAAUUUAAGGACCCUAACCCUCAAGAUAGUACAACUUUUUAGUCGCGCUCUAGCCAAAGUAAAACUUAAUGCAUGUGGGGGAGAUCAUGUUCAGUGGCUACAAUUGUGCGGUGGUUAAGGAAGGAAGGAAGAAAAAUAAAAAAAACUUUUCGAACGGAUCCAAUUAAACAGAUGUAAAGUAGAAUAUUAAUAAAACAAUGUAUUAUUUUUAUUUCAUCUAAGCUCGAAGUUAGGCAUGUCAGCAACGACUUCUAAAAUCUAAUAGCAUAUUUUGACCAAUCUUAUUUUACCGAUCUUAAAUUUUAAAUUAAUAUUAUUUAUUU